AUGUCUUUCUGGAUGAAGGGGCCACAGAAACUGCUGACCUUGCAGCCUCUCAGAAUCAUGGAACCAUGGGACGUGGACUCUGGUAGUCCAUGGCCUCUGAUGGCCCAUCCUGUUGUGUGCAGGAGACAGUUUGGCCUCUGGGUCAACACCUCCCUGGACAAGUCUGAGAGUGUAAACAGAAAUCAUCCUUUGUUGAAUUUGAACAUCACUCUGACACCUCACACUGGAAGUGCAACUCACCAAGCCAAAAUGGAAAAUUGGUUGAAAGCAUCCUGGCUUCUCUCAACGGCUUUCCCUUUCCUAAUGAAGUGCUACUUGAAUGAUUUAUUUGGACUGAGAAUUGGGAUGAAAACAUGGCAGAUUAAAUGAGAAAUUUUUAAAAUUUUUGUAUACUUUACAUAUGUUAUACCCAUCAUAUAGAUGGGUUUAAUACUGUUUGGGCAGGAAAAGGUUUAAUAAUAGUAAUAGUAACUUUUAUUGAAGUUAUCUCACUUCAUUCUCAAGACAGUUCUGUGAGGAAAGGUUCUAUUUUUACUUGACUAGUCUCAGCCAGUAAAUAGCUGAGUUUAAAUGAAAACUCUAUGUUUGAUUUUAAGUUGAAUUUGGAUUAAAACCCUGGGCUACAUCUGAGGGUUUCCUAGUGGGCUAUGUUAGCUUCUUCUUGGAUUAGAUAUUCUCCCUGAUACAUGAAUCACUGUAUAUUUCUUUUAACCAUCCAAUAAAUAAUUAUUGAGAACCUCCCUGUUCUAAGUCUUGUUCUAGGGGCUGGGGCUACCAUAGGAAACAGCGUGAAGUUCUGCUCUCCAGGGAUUUUUUUUUUCUUGGUAUUGGGGAUUGAACCUAGGGGCCCUUCACACUGAGCUACAUCUUUAAUCCUUUUUACUUUGUUUUUUUUGUGGGUUUUUUUGGGUACCAGGGAUCGAUCUCUGGACCAUGCGCUUUGGAGGCAGGCAACGGCACCACUGAGCUAAAUCCUCAGCCCUUCAGUUUGUAUUUUGAGACGAGAUCUCACUAAGUCUAAAUUGCCCAGGCUGGGUUCGAAUUUGUG
rnacentral:lncRNA from 1 species